rnacentral:rRNA from 1 species
AGAUUGAACGCUGGCGGCAUGCCUAACACAUGCAAGUCGAACGGGAGUAGCAAUACUCUAGUGGCGGACGGGUGAGGAAUACGUAGGAAUUUGCCCUUAAGUGGGGGAUAACCCGGGGAAACCCGGAUUAAUACCGCAUGACCUCGAAAGAGCAAAGUGGGGGAUCGCAAGACCUCACGCUUUUGGAGAAGCCUACGUCGGAUUAGCUAGUUGGUGAGGUAAUGGCUCACCAAGGCGACGAUCCGUAACUGGUCUGAGAGGAUGAUCAGUCACACCGGAACUGAGACACGGUCCGGACUCCUACGGGAGGCAGCAGUGGGGAAUAUCGGACAAUGGGCGCAAGCCUGAUCCAGCAAUGCCGCGUGUGUGAAGAAGGCCUUCGGGUGUAAGCGACUUUAAGUUGGGAAGAAAA